AGGGAAUCUUCCACAAUGGACGAAAGUCUGAUGGAGCAACGCCGCGUGAGGGAUGACGGCCUUCGGGUUGUAAACCUCUUUCAGCAGGGAAGAAGCGAAAGUGACGGUACCUGCAGAAGAAGCGCCGGCUAACUACGUGCCAGCAGCCGCGGUAAUACGUAGGGCGCAAGCGUUGUCCGGAAUUAUUGGGCGUAAAGAGCUUGUAGGCGGUCCGUCGCGUCGGAAGUGAAAACUCAGGGCUUAACCCUGAGCCUGCUUUCGAUACGGGCAGACUUGAGGGAUGUAGGGGAGAACGGAAUUCCUGGUGGAGCGGUGGAAUGCGCAGAUAUCAGGAGGAACACCAGUGGCGAAGGCGGUUCUCUGGACAUUUCCUGACGCUGAGAAGCGAAAGCGUGGGUAGCAAACA
rnacentral:rRNA from 1 species